rfam:Lachnospiraceae bacterium 28-4 genomic scaffold acPFn-supercont1.4, whole genome shotgun sequence.
UUGCGUACAAUCAGCAAUUUCACUUAUGAAAUGGCCAAAAACCAAGGGUGAAAUUGCCACGGACGGCAAUUUCAGGAAGCGAAGGGCAAGGAUGCCCUUUCGCUUCCGACCCAAUCGGUUCCAAAGAGUAUACCCAUUUCAUUAGUGAAAUCUGAUUGGAAGCUC